AGUCAUAUGAAAACAAAGAAGUCCAAACUCAAUUCAAAGACUCGAAGUUAGUCUGGAAGAGUCAGGGGUUCUAAAACUAAAACCCUAGUUCAAAUAAAUUAUAUGAUUAAACUUGGCAGAACCCUAAAAUUUACUGUUUCUACCUUUAAUCAAAUACAGAGGAGAAGGCAAGUGGUCGAAUCAGGCUUAGAGGUUCCAGAUAAGAACUGAAACCUCUUGUAUGCUUCGACCAGUAUCACAAACUUAUGAGAAAACAUGAUGUCAGGCAGAACACAGCAGGAGCAUUCAAAGAUAAUAAAGGAAAAUACUAAUAGAAACAGUAGAAGAAGCAUGCUUGAGAAGGUCUUUUUUACAAGAAACGUAACAAGGAUUAGUAGAGCACAGUAGAAAAGUAUAGUAGCCAAACAUAGCAUGACAUAGUAGAAGAAAAUAUCAGAAUAUAGUAGAAAUCAUACGAGAACAUAGUAUGGAAAACAUAGUAGAAGAACAUACAAGCAUGGAGCAUAUAAAGCACACUAAAAGAACAUGCAUGAAUGGAGUAUAAAAACUCAGUUGAAGAACAUACAAAGAACACAAACAGUAGAAGAACAUACAAAAACAAGGUAGAUAAAAAAAUAGGAUCAUAGUCGAGGCAAAUACACAAAUAAAAGGGAAAGAAAGUCAGAGAAACACUUAAGUAUUUUUUUCAGAAAAACCUAGAUCGGAAAAGAAAGAUUUUAAAAGUAAUUUUUGAAAGAAAAGUUGGGAAAAUCAUUUCAAAACUAAAGGAAAUCAUAGAUACACAACAAAUCUAAAGAAAUCGGAGAAAACCCUCAAAAGGUUAGGAUUCCAGAAGAACUCUAGAAAUGAGAAAGGCUUUGAAAGCCCACUGAUCUGAGUCAGAGAGGUUAGAAAUAGGCUCAGAUAACCUUGGUACACCGGAGCAAGGCCAGAGAUGACCCUGGAACCUUGAAUCGACAGAGGUCUGUGUUCGAAUCUUUAUAGUCAGGCCUCGAAUCUUCAAAGGUCGGGCUUGUAAGGGCAAGAAGAGGUGGGUAUAGGACUCCCAUGGCCUGAGAAGCCAUAGAUUUCGGUGGGUUUCAAGGUAGAAUAUGUAAGAGGCGGCUAGGUUCAGAGAAGGUUUAAGAGUGUUUGAGAGGGAGGGAGGUGGGGUUUCAGAGGUGGCUGG
rnacentral:lncRNA from 1 species